rnacentral:rRNA from 1 species
UACGAAGGGGGCUAGCGUUACUCGGAUUUAUUGGGCGUAAAGAGCGUGUAGGCGGCCAUGCAGGUCAGCUGUGAAAACUCGAGGCUCAACCUCGAGACGUCGGUUGAAACCGUAUGGCUAGAGUCCGGAAGAGGAGAGUGGAAUUCCCGGUGUAGCGGUGAAAUGCGCAGAUAUCGGGAAGAACACCCGUGGCGAAGGCGGCUCUCUGGGACGGUACUGACGCUGAGACGCGAAAGCGUGGGGAGCGAACAGG